rnacentral:rRNA from 1 species
AGUGGGGAAUAUUGCACAAUGGGCGAAAGCCUGAUGCAGCGACGCCGCGUGAGGGAUGACGGCCUUCGGGUUGUAAACCUCUUUCCAGUAGGGAAGAAGCGAAAGUGACGGUACCUGCAGAAGAAGCGCCGGCUAACUACGUGCCAGCAGCCGCGGUAAUACGUAGGGCGCAAGCGUUAUCCGGAAUUAUUGGGCGUAAAGAGCUCGUAGGCGGUUUGUCGCGUCUGCCGUGAAAGUCCGGGGCUCAACUCCGGAUCUGCGGUGGGUACGGGCAGACUAGAGUGAUGUAGGGGAGACUGGAAUUCCUGGUGUAGCGGUGAAAUGCGCAGAUAUCAGGAGGAACACCGAUGGCGAAGGCAGGUCUCUGGGCAUUAACUGACGCUGAGGAGCGAAAGCAUGGGGAGCGAACAGGAUUAGAUACCCUGGUAGUCCAUGCCGUAAACGUUGGGCACUAGGUGUGGGGGACAUUCCACGUUUUCCGCGCCGUAGCUAACGCAUUAAGUGCCCCGCCUGGGGAGUACGGCCGCAAGGCUAAAACUCAAAGGAAUUGACGGGGGCCCGCACAAGCGGCGGAGCAUGCGGAUUAAUUCGAUGCAACGCGAAGAACCUUACCAAGGCUUGACAUGAACCGGAAAUACCUGGAAACAGGUGCCCCGCUUGCGGUCGGUUUACAGGUGGUGCAUGGUUGUCGUCAGCUCGUGUCGUGAGAUGUUGGGUUAAGUCCCGCAACGAGCGCAACCCUCGUUCUAUGUUGCCAGCGCGUUAUGGCGGGGACUCAUAGGAGACUGCCGGGGUCAACUCGGAGGAAGGUGGGGACGACGUCAAAUCAUCAUGCCCCUUAUGUCUUGGGCUUCACGCAUGCUACAAUGGCCGGUACAAAGGGUUGCGAUACUGUGAGGUGGAGCUAAUCCCAAAAAGCCGGUCUCAGUUCGGAUUGGGGUCUGCAACUCGACCCCAUGAAGUCGGAGUCGCUAGUAAUCGCAGAUCAGCAACGCUGCGGUGAAUACGUUCCCGGGCCUUGUACACACCGCCCGUCAAGUCACGAAAGUUGGUAACACCCGAAGCCGGUGGCCUAACCCCUUGUGGGAGGGAGC